UCUAUAAAAGAGUAGUGUCUGAAGGAGUGAAAAGGAGGAAGAGAUUGUUACACACAUAUUCAAACAUAAUCAUUUCUCAUACAUAGAAUCUCAUACUCCCUUAAAACUUUCAUAGUGUUUUCGGCAUAACCUUUUCCCAUCAACACACACAAUACGCACAUAAUCUAGAAUCUCAUAUUCCUUUAAACUUCAUAGUGUUUUCGGCAUAACUUUUUUUGCCUCCUACCCAUAUCACACAAAAAUCUCAUAUCCUCUUCAAGGUUCACCGUGUCCCAACAUAACCCUUUUUUCAUCAACACAUAUCAUAUAAAACAAGCCAAAUAGACCAAAGGUAUUAAUAAUCAGAGGAGACUAAGAAAGGAGAUUAGCGGCGUACAGGGAGAAGCAUACCGAAGUGAGAGUAACUACAAGGUGUUACAAACUUCAUACCAGACUCAUGAAAGCUGAGAUUGCAAGUGAAGUCAACUAGUGCGAUUGCAACAUCCGUUUCUUGCCUAUGUUUCGAUGAAGACAAAGUCGACCUAAAAAGCUUGAAGACCUGACUCAUCAACAUUCAACAUGUCUAAGACUCAAGACUCUAGGAAGGUAUUUUAUUUUCCCUUUUUAAGAAGUUCUAAGAUGAUUGUUUAGCCUUGAGUCUAGGUUAGGUAACCCAAAUGAUGAUCGUCUCAUUCGCUCGCAAGAUUGCCAAAAUACUUUUUGAGAGUCAUCAUUCUUCCUUUUUAGUAGAUCCGUUAAUCGAUUAAGAGUCUUUUUAAUCGAUUAAUGAGAGUUCCAAUAACCUCUGAAUUUGGUUGCCUGGCAGUUUUAAUCGAUUAUGUUAUCUAUUAAUCGAUUAUGUAC